CUUUUAAAUAAGGAAGAGUUUUUGGUGGAUGCCUUGA
rnacentral:rRNA from 1 species